rnacentral:lncRNA from 1 species
AAUGCCCACAACAGAGUCACAAUGAUCAAUGGAAAAAUACUCCCUCAUUAAUGCCACAUACCAGCAUUAUCAACCACCUAAAAGAUGAAUGAUUUAGACCCCAAUUAAACACCAUGAAAAGCAUAUGUUACAGAGAAUCAAGCAGAACUCUACAGAGAAUGUGAAUAUUUGCCAGUGGUUAGCCUCCAGUUAAAUGUGCAUGCUAGAGAAGACCCUUACAGAACAUGGCCUCACAGUUCACAAUUUAUGAAGGGAUUGUGUUGCGCAAGUUCACUUAGGGAGAAACAGAUCAAGGAGUGGCAAAGCUUGGAUCUGAAUUCAGAUGCGCUCAUUCUCAAGCCGUAUUCUUAACCACUCUACUACUCUUCUCCAAUUGUUUUGGAAAUAUGAAACAAUUGGAGAUCUGAAGCUUCAAAACUCCUACCAACCACCAUCUCCUUCGUGAAGCCUUCCCUGCCCACCCCAGAUAGGAGGAAUGAAUGAACACCAGUAGUCUGCUGGCCUGCCUGGUCUGCCUGGUGUCUGGCAUCCAGAGACUUUUCCUGGCUGACCUUUUGGAGAAUGUCCAACAUUGAGAAAAUGGAAUCCAAAAGAAGACACAGAACCGGGCUCCAUGUUUUCAGAGACUGCACCACAUUGGUCAUUGGAGUUAAAUGUGUUCAUAUCCAUCGGCUCUGUGCUCUGUCACGCAAAAUAUUAAAAUGAAAUGCUAGGAGAACAGUUUGAAGCAAUCCUUCCUGUUCUUGAA